ensembl:lncRNA GMDS-DT GMDS divergent transcript
GCCGCCACCGCCUCAGGGAAGAGGAAGGAGGCCGCGGCUUCGCGUCCCGCCUCUCGCCUGGCUGGCCGUGGGGGGCCUGGACGCAGUGGCCUCCCGAAUCUCCCAGGACCCUAAUAUCGCCCGAGGAUGCUGGGAGGAACGCUGAGCCGACCUCUCCGUUAGGCUGAAGAUUGCACAAACCAUGCUAAUGGCCAGCAUGGAUGGAGGGAGCGUGUGAGAUGUGUGGGGCAGCGUGCUGCAUCUCAGCCAACUCCAGGAGGAAGCAUGCUCAUGGCAAUACCCGGAGUCUCCACUGCAAGACCAGAGUGACGGAGGCAGCAGAGCUCCUCAGCAGGCCAGGAGUCUCCAGAGGCACUGCCGAAUGUCUAAGAAGCAACCUCAUUGUAUUCCCAAGACCUGGGAAUCCAGGUCUCGCAGAUACGAUGAUACAAUCUAUAGCCAGGACAUCUCUUCAUGUGUAGUUUUCAAUGAAUACUAGGAUAAGCAACUAUCCCAGUCUUCCCAGGAUUGAGGGGCUUCUCCAGAUGCUGCACUUCUGGUGCUAAAAAUGAGAAACUGAAAUGAAUUAGUCACCCAAGGAAUGCUGACCCUGUGCUAUAUGAUCACAUUUACUCUUUAAAGCAAUGCUUUGAGGCCAAGCUAUAAAUAAAGGGUGGACUGACCUUGUCAACUGUUAAAUUGGAGCCGUGGUGCGUUGCCUAGAACAUUGCGGAUGACCCCGAGCAGCACAGCAGAUCAACGGCUGAGAAAGAGCUCAUUCAGCUCAUCUAACUAGGAUGCUGUCCUGCCAGAGCCCUGGGGGUUCUCGUCUCCUGGGGCAAAAGCAGCAUGCAACCCUUAUGAACCCAUCUUGGAAGGCAUUCGGGGAGCCCAAGACAAGACCAUUGGGAGCCUCAGGGUCACUUGUGGGGGUCUCUGUGCUGGACGGCUGUACCUCUCAUGAAAUGGACAACUGACCAUAAGAAGGAGGGUUACACAGAAACCAGCCCUUUGGAAAGACUGGCUCUACCUAUGAUACCAACGAGCCCUCAUGCUGCCCCUCCCUUACAGUUUUGACACAGGACUGACCAGCAUUCCUUCCAGAUGAGAGACCGCUGGCCACAGAGUGGCUUUGGCCAGUCUACGGACACUGCACACAGAGGGCCUCCAUGUCCUCUGCUUUACCUUUUGAUGUUUAGAGCCUACUUGUAAUACAUUUAAAUGUUAAGUUGCCUCUCCAAAGUGAGCAGGGAAGCACGUUGCAUGCCUGUUAGCUACUACACAUGCCCUUGCCUCCCUUUUGUGAGUUUCCAUCGCUCCUCCUAUGACCUGCUGAACAUGUAUACUUAGCCAACCUGCUCAGCGUACAUUCCAGUUCCCUUGACCCCCUCUCCUGAAGUACUUGUUAUGGAGGUUACACUUCCCAGCCUGCAAGAUGGCCAGCCUGCAGGCUGCGAUGCUUUAUGAGAAAUAAAGCUCUUUUACCAAAUUUAUGAACCUCAUUAUUCUUCAGCUGCAGAUUUCAGUUUUUCAUGUUUUCAUUUCAGUUUUUCAUGUACAGUGACUAAACAUAUUCAUUGAAUUGAUGACCUGCAUUAGCUAGUUUGGUUAAUGAUUUCCUAUAACAAACUUUUGUGAAGUUUAUGGUAUUUUCAUUGAUGUAACUAAUUUGUCUCAAAUCCACAAGACAUUUAAAUCUUACCCUUAAUACGUUCAUGAGAUUCUUGCAUCUUCAUUGAUUAGAUUUUCCAAUAAUACAAUGGCCUGUUCAUGAUUUUGACUCAGAAUGUAUUUGUUCUUUUUGAUGGAUUACUUUUUGAAUUAUCUGGACACUUUUUGGUUAAAAUUGGUCAUCUAUAUCAGAAUAAUUUCUAUUAAU